rnacentral:lncRNA from 1 species
AGCCAUUGGCCACGCACAGUGGACACCAUGCAGGAUGGAGGAAGGAGUGACCCACAGGGUCCAUGGUAGAUCUUCCAGCCAAUAGGACAGGGGCAGGCAUAGCGCUGUGGGACCUGUGCCUGGGGUUCCAGUCAAAAUCCAAUGCUUGGCAAAGUCUCCUGGCCUAGUACAAAAUCUCUGCAGGCCUAGUAACCUCCUUGCUGGCUGAGACACUGUCUGCACUGAAGAAGCCUCGGGCCUAGCACCAUGACUCGCAGGGAAUCUGAAUUCAACAAAUACUCGUAUCAGUUGAAUGAAUGAACGACUGGUUCUCUGCUCAUCUUAUGUGUCUAAUAUUACCAUUGUGAUAAUGCCAAGUGCCAUGACCACGUCAAAAUUAACACUUUAGGCUCUAUGACUGGUGGUUUUACUGGCACUACGCACAAUAUUCCUUGUGUUCCUUUAGCCUCUUAAAUAUUGUUUAACAUGAUUCAUUGUUUGGAAACUGCUGAAGUUACAAUCAUGCAUGCAGUUGACAUUGGUCGAUUAAGCUGAGUCCAUCCAGGAAUUGUCACAGAUUUGCAGUUUAUCACUGAUACGCUUCACAAGAAAAUCUUGGUUAGAGAAUCAUCAUUCUUAUUAAAAUUUCUCAGUGUCCAUUAUAUCAGGGGAUUUAGAAAUUAUACAUCAUUGCUCAAGACAUUGUUCUGCCUUGAUUUCAUCAUACAAUGUUCUGUGAAGCAUGGGAUUUAGAAGCACUUUCAGAUUCAGGUCGGAACCUGCAGAAGGGGAAGAAAAGAGGAGGGCUGUGAUUGUUUCUCAGCAACUGGGGACUCGAAACGUGCGGUUUCUCCGGCCUUGGUGCCUGGGCAGGCGCGCCCUGGUGCGUUUUUGGUUCAGGUGAUGAUGGAGCCCACUCGCCCGGGCAAAGCGAACUGAGAACGCGGAUUGCUGAAACUGAUGUGAACUCCGUAGAAAAGUGAAGGGCAGCAUGUGUCUUACAACUUCACAUUUGAUUUUCUCACUGGGAGUUGAUGCUUAGUCCCUGGCAAAUUCUAGAAGGUGAAGCGCUCGUGGCCAAUGAAAGUUCGGCUGCCCACCCGCCUCCUGAACGCUGCGCCCUGGCUGCGCCUGACCCGCACAGUGGGCGUAUUCACGGGCACAGCGCGUCACCGGCCACCCCACGCUUGCAG